UAGUCACAGAAAAAUGUGACUAAGAACUAUGCAGCGAUGAAGAGGGCAAAGGAUAAAGGAUUUACUAGUGAGAUAGAUAAUAAUGUGAAACGUCUUAAAGUCAUCGGAAGCCUUCGAUUAGUCUGCAUCAAGGAAUCGUAUAAAGGAAAAUUGCGCUUACCAAACGGUGACUCGGUUGCCCGUUUUAUGUUCCUCCUGGGGGAUCCCGCUAUCCGAUUCUUGGCGAUCGAGCCUCGCGCAGCGUAGCUCACGGCGACACGUUUAUUGAAAUGAUUAAACUAAAACGGCCACGACCCCGGACGAAAGCGAGGCUUCAUGAAGAGGCAAAAGGGAGUGGGAGAAAAGUGGUGAGUCGAAACGAACGCGCUAUCUAACUAUCCGGAUUACGAAGCCGCAUGAUGAUGAUGUUGUUCAUCUACGAUCUACACCGCGACUUGCGAGGCCAAAAUCGCGGCGGAACCCUCGAGCCGCGACAUCGACUAGCAGCGGGGAUACAGCGGCGUUUAAGGGAUCGGGAGAUCGGGGGAAUAUGGCCAGCCUCCCCCAAGUGCGCAGGAUUCGAUCGAUGGUCCACGAGAAAGAGAGACGUAUCAUCAUUUCGCGCGUCUCUCGUGCUGUAUAUCCGCGCACCCCGUUUUCGGAGGAAGCAGGGGGUGGAUAAGUCGCGCGUCUCUUAAACCGCGUAAAUCCAGAUCCAGAUCCGGACGUGGCGAUGUACGAAACACGCGAAAACAAAAUUAAAUAAUAAUCACAUUCUUUUUUUUUUAAGUCAAACACGGAGCAUUUUAUGAUCAUGUUUAGGUGUGUAUUGUGUCAGAAAAUGAUCAAUAUUACAGCUGAAGGAAAUUUUAAGAAAAGGUAUAAAUUGUAUUGGCUUAGGACAAAGAAAUUUUGUUAAAAUAAAAUAACAAUCGAAGUUUCAAUAAAUAAAGAAACCAACUUA